AUGCUAAAUGCUAAGAGAAUGAAGAGUUUAGAGUUCAGAACAGAGGGAAUGGAGGUGGAGAAAUAAAAUUUGUGAUAGAACCCCCAACCUGUUUUAGACAUAUUAGAGAGUUAAAGGAAUAGUUAAGACAAAAAGUUAUACAUUUAAAGAGAAAAAGUAAGAAUAUUAUAGACCAAUCAAAACAGUAAAAAAAAACAACUAGAUCUAAUAGAAGACCAGAAGUCAGAUAUCUUAGAUCUAACAUAUUACAUAUGCCAAGAUAAUGGGCUAUAUCUAUUUAGGUAAACAGGUUCUGUCCAUCAAAAAUAUCAGUAAAUGACACUGAAUAUAUGUUGGGCACCAUAGCAUCUUAUUCAAACGUAUGGGAGGCUCUUACAAUACAUAUGCUAUAGAGACCAAAGGCCUGAUUAAUUACAGUCAUCACAUAAUGAAGGGACAUGCCCCCAAAACUUAUUUUCAUAGUGACACAAAGAAUUAUAGGGGCUUAACCCUGUUGGCAGAUAUAUUGGCAUGUCUGUGUUUUUUGUCACAGUGCUCUGGGACACAUGUCUGACCUUAUCUAUGUCAAACACACAGCUCCUUCUGUGCCUUCCACACAACCAGUGCUGCCUUUGUAACACUAACAACCACAACCAUCUCCAUCAGGGAUUAUUGAAUAUUCAAAUGCCCUUAUAUAAUAGCUCCCUGUGUAACCUCACUCCCUCUGUGACAUAUUCAAAGGCAACUCAUUGAGUCCUUCACUGAUGCCAGCACUCUGCUAGUUAUAUCUUGGUAACUUAAAGUACAUUGCUUUUACCUAUGGUCUGAAGUUGAGCGAUCUGUGGAAAGGACCCAGGAGUGCGCUGCUUCUUCUUACAGUGACGGACGCGGGGCGGCAGCACCCAGGUCACAACAGGUACGAGGUAAGAUUUACGGUGUUUCUGUUCUUUUGAAAACGUGAUUGUAGUCCUGUGCGGGGAGUCAGGGGUUAUAUUACCAGCUCCCUUCUUUAAGCGUUUGGUUCGGGGCAUCUGCACCUGGGCCAUUGGAUUCUAACAGUGAGCGGUGCACAGGCUUGAACUAGAAUCUAAUGUUAAUACCUUUAGUAUUGAUUCAUUGAAGUAAAUUCCGGGAAUAGUGCUGGAUAUUCUCCUUAAUUUCGGAUAUACUGUUGCCCCAAUGAAACAAAAACAUUUCCUGGUUAAAUAAAUAAAAUGGCAAACUUUUUCUGCUUAUUACUUUACUUUCUUUCUUUUUUUGCAAUAUAUACUUUCUCUGCCUGGCUUGAAUGACAACAUUUCACAUGCAUGCUUGUGUCUUUACUUUCAAUCCACUGGACAUGGAAUCCCUGCAUGUUCAAGCAAAACUUGGAAGAACUUGUUUGGUACAGUCAUUUACUGUAGUAACCUUUCAAACGUAUUCUUUUAUUGUUUUAACAUAGAUUUUAGUUUCUAUAGUACACAGAUUUCUCCUUCACCAUGCCAACCAAAAUGUAACAUCAAAACAUCACAACUGCAUGUUACUGCCCCUUUUGAAGCCAGGCUUUUUUUAACCUUUUAAUUAAUAAUGUCAGGCAACCAGUCUCUUUAUUUACCCAGGAAAUCUCCUCCACCAAAUAAUGCCACCUAGACUCAUGAGAUAAAGAAUCAGAUAAGGUUUAUUCGCGCGGGGAAUGACUCUCACGUACGACACAAGUUGUACAUAAGCAUUCCCAAAACAGUCCUCCAUUGGUUGUCCUUUUAUACCCCUGUAAGGGGGGUCUCAAAAGGCUUCAGUUCUGACCAAUCAGAGGUUAAAGUUCUUGUUUACUUUAGUCCAUGUUCUGUGACUAAUCCUUCAGGCCAUCUGUUCUCUGAUGAUAAUCUUGUCUGGAACAUUUUGGGGAAAUUGAGACAUAUGUGAUGACGAUAAAGAUGAUAACAUCUCAGCAAGUGCAUUACAAGCCAAACAGCUCUCCAAAACCUAAGUUUACAAUCCUUAUGAUGUAAAGAACCAGGCCCAUCAUUAUUCUGUUAAACAUAAUUCAAACUAUACAUUCUUAUACUUAAUUAACCUAAUUCUUAGACACACAUAAAAUUAAGAUGGUAUAACUUAGCCUCACAAUCAUUAAGCAAAAAAGGAAAUCCUUAAUUUAUGGUCAGAACAAUACAUGCAAGCCAGAGGAAUAACAAUACAAUACAUUUGUACAAUACCUGAGUAACAUGAUCUUUAAAAUAUAUAUGUGUUGUGCUUAAAUGCAAUAUUUUAUUCUAUGGUUUUAACAUGUACAAAGCAAUACAUAUUUCUCAGAUAUCAGAGCCCCUUUCUGUACCUCUAUUCAGUGUACAAGAUAGGAACAUGCUAGUCAGUAGAGCAGUCAUUGUUUGGUCACCAGAGAUGCAAAUAAUCAUUAGUCAUUAAUCAUUAUUCACAGUGGAACAGACUGUUUUUGUGUAUAUUUCUCAUUUAUAGUGCCAUAACAGGGUCGGACUGGGCUGGCGGGACACUGGGAAAAAACCCGGUGGGCCCUGGCACUUAUGGGCCCUGCCGGCCCAAACCCACUCCCCCAAACAGCUGGACCCCAAAAAAACGGUGUAUGGUGUCACGCAUCGGUUAAGAAAACUUGUGCUCUCUGUGCUAGCAUUGUGGACCCCCUCUGGUGUCAAAAAGGUAUCUUAAGCCCCUGCUUCCAUCCAAAGCUGAAUCCAAUAAAGCAAACGAGGUGGGGAAAGAAUACCAAAAAGCGCUUAUAGCUGCAAGGUGCCUUUAUUCACCGUCACACAACAUGUUUCGAGCUAGGUAGCUCUUUUUCAAGUGUAUAAAUCACAACAGUGGAAACAAUCAAGAAAUAACCAUCAACUCCUCCCCCCUCUGUUCCUAAUGGUCCUGAGGUAAUUGCAAGGAGGAUUUUCAUGCCUAACCUCCACAAUGAACAGAGUUAACCCUUUGUGAGAAAUCCAACAUGUUCAAAGUCCCAUGUGAAAGUCCAAUGUGUAAACGUUCAUUAAAGUCAUUUAGAUCCUUGUGUGUUGUUGCUGAAAAUGGAAUAAAUGAGAGAAAACACUCUUAACCUCUGCACUGCUCAUUUAAGCCUGCAAGAGUUACCAUAGCCAAACACAGUAAUAAAAACUGUUACAUUCUGUUGCAAAUAUACUGUCUUACUGUUUCAAAUAAAGUUACUAUGCUGCCAACCCUUAAA